rnacentral:rRNA from 1 species
GACGAACGCUGGCGGCGUGCUUAACACAUGCAAGUCGAGCGAUGAAACACCUUCGGUGUGAAUUAGCGGCGAACGGGUGAGUAACACGUGAGCAAUCUGCCCUUGACUCUGGGAUAACUGCGGGAAACUGUAGCUAAUACCGGAUACGACACCUUGGGGCAUCCCAGGGUGUGGAAAGAAUUUCGGUCAAGGAUGAGCUCGCGGCCUAUCAGCUAGUUGGUGAGGUAAUGGCUCACCAAGGCGACGACGGGUAGCCGGCCUGAGAGGGUGACCGGCCACACUGGAACUGAGACACGGUCCAGACUCCUACGGGAGGCAGCAGUGGGGAAUAUUGCACAAUGGGCGAAAGCCUGAUGCAGCAACGCCGCGUGAGGGAUGAAGGCC